ACGGAAUCACUUCCUUCCAAAUUCUUCAGUGAAAAAACAAACGAAUCAGACCCUUUUAGCUUUACCUAAGAGAGAACAAGACCAGAAAAUUGAAACUGGUUUAGGAGUAUAACACACCACACAACUAUGUGUCACAUAGUGCUUUUAAGUAUACUUGCAUAAGAGCAAGCAAAGAAGACCAAAAGCAAAAGGCAGGAACGUUCAUAUAAAUGUCAAAACUUUAUAAAGUUUUAGCCAGAAGCAAUCAAUCACAAACAUAUACAUAGAAGUGUGUGAUACAGAGAGUAUAAAUUGGAUCCUUGGAUUCAGAGAGAAAUAUAAGAUUGGAUCAAAAUCCAUAACUUUGACCAUUCUUGAAUGUAUCUAAAAGAUAGAUCUAUAAAAGAUUCUGGAGUAAAAGCAAGAUCACACAAACCCUCAAGAAGAAAAACAAAAAAGUCUUAUCCUUUAAUUUCUUUAGGAAUAGUUACUUCAUUACUACUACUACUUGAUUUAGAACAUAGAACCAAAAAAAAGACAAAACAGAUAUUAUGAAUCGGACCCAAAAAAAAAAAAAGUAUAACACUUCAGGGGAUGUGAUAAGACAAAGACAGAUUCGAGAAGAAAAGAAAACGAAAACG